UGGGGAAUCUUCCGCAAUGGACGAAAGUCUGACGGAGCAACGCCGCGUGAACGAAGAAGGUCUUCGGAUUGUAAAGUUCUGUGAUUCGGGACGAAAGGGUUUGUGGUGAAUAAUCAUAGACAUUGACGGUACCGAAAAAGCAAGCCACGGCUAACUACGUGCCAGCAGCCGCGGUAAUACGUAGGUGGCAAGCGUUGUCCGGAAUUAUUGGGCGUAAAGCGCGCGCAGGCGGUUUCUUAAGUCCAUCUUAAAAGCGUGGGGCUCAACCCCAUGAGGGGAUGGAAACUGGGAAGCUGGAGUAUCGGAGAGGAAAGUGGAAUUCCUAGUGUAGCGGUGAAAUGCGUAGAGAUUAGGAAGAACACCGGUGGCGAAGGCGACUUUCUAGACGAAAACUGACGCUGAGGCGCGAAAGCGUGGGGAGCAAACA
rnacentral:rRNA from 2 species